CUGGGAUUAGAUGCCCACCGGGAGAAGAAAGCACUGCGGGGGAGAGAAGGUGGGCGUGGAAAGGCAGGUGCCCUCCACCUGGGCGGGUCCAGAGCACCUGAGAGCCAAGGGCACAGCCUGACCACCUGGGGCCUUGCUCCUGGCUCACCCCCCGAGGCCCCUGCCUUGCCCAGUUUCUCUCCUAGUAUUUGUUUUUUUGCUGCUACCAACCUGUUCUGGAUCUUUCGUAUGAAUGGGGUAACCCAGGUUGCUACCUUUGGUACCAGCCUCUCCGUCAGCACCAUGAAGCUUAAUCAAAGUCAUUAGUCUCCGCUUAAAAUUGCCCUAAAUGAACUCCGUCUCGAAGCUGUGUCAGGGCUGCCUGCCCCGGGAUGGGCCUAUUAAUCACUGCUCACAGCUGGGGAGCUAGCAGCCCCCGAAGAUGCUUCCAGAAUGAGCCACGCAGGAGACAGCAGGACCACUGAGACAGGGCACUGAGUGGGGAGGAAGAGGAGGAGGGGGAGGAGGAGUAAAGGAAAGGCGGAGGAGGAGAAGAGGAUGGGGGAGGAGAAGGAGGAGACGGGGGGGGGGGGGGGGGGGGGGGGGGGGGGGGGGGGGGGGGGGGGGGGGGGGGGGGGGGGGGGGGGGGGGGGGGGGGGGGGGGGGGGGGGGGGGGGGGGGGGGAGAGAGGGGCAGCGCUGGGGCGUGCAGGUCCCAGCAUGUGGCUGCCAUCCUCCCGCUUCAUCCUCACAGACCUUCAGAGUGGGGGGUCAGCUCCAUUUACAGAGGAGGAAAUUCUGACUCAGAAGAAAGUGACCUUUUCAGGGUGCACGGUCAGCCCUGCAUGGGGGGGAGCCAGGACAGAAACCAGACCCAUGUGGCCCUGAGAUCCAUGUCCACUGUCACUGUGGGCAAUGUCCCAGAACUCCAGGGAUGAACGUCCAACACCGUGGAGCUUCCGGGAGGGCAUUGUCAGGGGGAGCCAGGAUGACCUGAGAAUGGAGAUGGGUCUUGGCAGGGGUGGGAAGGAGAAAAGACCCUCCUUAAAGUUGCCUUUCUUGUUAAAAAAUCAGUGUGCUGAUAACUUUGUGAAGCCCUAUCCUCUGUAGCUGUGAGACAGGCCAUGCUUACAGGCACGUGGUACACUCUGUGUCCUUGUACUUUAACCGGGAUAUCUGUGCUGGACGUGCUCACAGGCGUGUCCCAGCUCUCCCGCUCGUACCUGUUUAGAAAAGUUUUAAGUUGUUAGCCAAUCGGCUUUUAGCUUAGAUUGUGAGGUCUGGCUCCAGCCGAAGGAGAUCAGACACAGCAGUAAGGACGACCCCAAGUGUGCAAGGGAUAAAUUUGCCUGUUUUCCUUUGUUCGUUGUACUCUUGCGGCACGAUGGCUGGCGAGGGUCCCCUUCCUGCAGUCCAGGAAGUAAAAACUGAGUUGCUGUAAGAUCCUUUGUCUCGGUGCUGACUUCUCUGUACAGCACCAAGCAUCCGUUUCCAACAGCAGGCAAGCAGGUCUGAGUGGGCACAUCUGGGGGGUGCAGAGGCUCAAGGCUGGUCUUGGAUGGGCAGUGGCUCUGCAGACAAGCCCCCCACCACGCCCGCACCUUCUGUGCUCCUCCUAUGUCUCCAUUAUCCCAGGGUCCCCAACCCAUGCACGGCUCAAUCAUGUCAUGGAGCCAAGUUGCAGGUGUGGUGUUGAGCGAGGGGUUGAAACCCCCCACCACAGUGCAGGCACAGCCACACCUGCCUGUUAACCUCCAGGCCUCUCCAUCUCCCACCCACUCACCCUCCAGAGUCCACCUUCCCUCUGUAAGUGGAUGGUGGCUUUCACCUGCAUCCAGGCACCUGCCGAGCCUGUAGCUGAAGUGUGACAGUGAGCAGGUGUCUCCCACCUGCAAACAUGCAGAUUAUUAUCAACACGGUGCAGGUGAAAAACUACUGAGACUGGGCCGGGUGCGGUGGCUUACGCCUGUAAUCCCAGCACUUUGGGAGGCUGAGGCGGGUGGAUCACAAGGUCAUGAGAUCGAGACCAUCCUGGUCAACAUGGUGAAACCCCGUCUCUACUAAAAAUACAAAAAAAUUAGCUGGGCACGGUGGUGCGUGCCUGUAAUCCCAGCUACUCAGGAGGCUGAGGCAGGAGAACUGCCUGAACCCAGGAGGCGGAGGUUACGGUGAGCCGAGAUCACGCCAUUGCACUCCAGCCUGGGUGACAAGAGUGAAACUCCGUCUCAAAAAAAAAAGAAGAACGACUGAGACUGAAGGAAAGCAAACAUCAUCACCACGUCUCACAAACUGUGCUGGACGCCGUGAUCAACUGCUGUUUUCUGGGCACUUUCUGUGUGCCUGACACGGUCCUCACAAUCCUGUUAUGGAAAAUGCACCAGGACCAGCCCUUGGUUACAGGUGGACCUUGGAGUCACAGGGAGUCGACUUACCUGCCCCUGGGCGCUGUGGCUGAGAAGAGGCAGCACAGAGGUGGAUGCAGCAGGGAUGACUGAGCACCCACACGCUCAGCUGCCGGUUUAAACUGCUUCCUCAGAAACAUGGGAUAAAAACACGGAAUGCACGACACACUGCAGAAAGUUGCUCAUUUUGAGCAGGUGCCCCCGUGAGAUGACCUGAGAAGAACCGUGACACCCAGAGGGGACUCUGGCACCUCGUUCUGAGGUGGCCACAAACAACUGUGGGGCACCUUUGGAAGAGUAGGGGGUUCUGGGGCAGCUGAGGCCAUCCAGGAUGCAGAAAAUCCCCAACAGAGUCACCCUCCUGAAGGAGAGGCUGCACCCUUCGAAGGCUUCUAGCAUAAAUUCCAAAUCGUGAAGCGUGGGAUACAGUGGAGAAAAACAAGGUUGCUCAACUCUGGGGCCAGGCCCUGGCCAGCGGCCCUCAGUAUUGUAGAUGCGUCUAUACAAGAGGCUGUGGCUUCAACACUUUUGAUGGUAACAGAGGAAGAAUCCUUAGGGUGUGAAGCUAAGAAACCCACCUUGGCCCCGCCUUGCCCUUCCCCGCACACAGAACGCCCUCUAAAACACGGGAGUAUCCAUUUUAUUUCAAAGUAAGCAAGAGAAAAGGGCUGUGAAAAAUUCCACACGAAGACAUCUUUGUGAGAAUGGAAAGUAGACAGGAAGUUAAUAAUGUGUUAGUCAAGAUCACGGACUGCAAAAUACGGCCUCCAAGCAGACGGAACCGACCCGACGGGACGGACAAAUUGAGCGAAUUAGGGGAAUGACAGAAGCAUGGAAGAACAGGAGAAAUCUGAACAGAAAAGCACAGAAACGUGCUGGCUCCGCAGGGCGGGGAAGGGACAAGACUGGAAGGGCGCAGAAAGAACAUCUUGAAAGAAAAAGGCACAUUUCAGAAAUGAUAAUUGAAACAGUACAUACCUAAGAAUCAAGAGACACCAAGAGAUCACGGUCAAAUCAGUGCGGGGUAGAAAGGAGAAAUGGCCGGUGGGAGGGGGGUACAUCUCACAGUAAAGACGAUAGAAAAAUAUCACAGUCAAGGGAUACAGGGAAAGAUCCGGAUUCAGGCGAACAGAAUCGCCCACAAGUGGCGAGGAAGAAGAUGGAAGAGACAUCAGGCUCACCAAGUGUAGAAAGCCGCCGGUGCCGGACUCCAGGAAGGUGCGUCCAAGGAGAGCAUUCUCCACCCAGGACCUGAGAGCGCCCGGAGUGGUCCACGAUGGACAGUAUUCUAGUAAAACACUGGGCUUUAAGGGUAGAGAAGACGUCUGUGGGGCAGUGUGGGGUGACGACAGAAGCCAUCAGCCCAUAGGGAACGUCUGAGCUAGAAGGAAGCCGCGUUUGCAGGUGCCGUAUUGCAUGGACAACACCAUCAAUCAGGACCGUUCUGGGCAAACAGGGACACACAGCCACUGCACAGGCAACAGAAAGUGACGAGAUCGUCAUUUCAUUUCUCAGCGGCAACACUUGGUACCAGAAAACAGUGUGGGAACGUUUAAGAAACUCGGGAAGCAAAAUGCAAGUCAAGGGUGUUUUUUUUUUUUUUUUUUUUUUUUGAGAUGGGAUCUUGCUCUGCUGCCCAGGUUGGAGUGCAGUGGCACAAUCUUGGCUCACUGCAACCUCUGCCUCCCGGGUUCAAGCAAUUCUUGUGCCUCAGCCUCCCCGGUAGCUGGGAUUACAAGCUCUUGACACCACACCUGGCUAAUUUUUAGUAGAGAUGGGGUAUCACCAUGUUGGCCAGGCUGACCUUGAGCUGACCUCAGGUGACCUGCCCUACUCAGCCUCCACUACAUUCUUUUCCUUGCAGUUAAACGGUUGAGUAACUGGGCCGUGCAGUUCAGCCAUUCCCUCUGUCCUUUGUCCUGGGAAUUAGCAACUGGGUCCCAGUAACCAACUUCAUGUUUUUAAAGGAAAAACUACAAAUGUACAAAGUAGGAAAUGUCAAAAUGUAAGAAUUUUUCAUUUAAAUAUUGUGUACGUUUCUUUGCAAAUAAAUUGAAGACCUAAGUGAAAUUGACA
rnacentral:lncRNA from 13 species